UACGGGGGGGGCAAGCGUUGUUCGGAAUUACUGGGCGUAAAGGGCGCGUAGGCGGCUCUUCAAGUCGGGCGUGAAAUCUCCAGGCUUAACCUGGAAAAGUCGUUCGAUACUGUUGAGCUAGAGUGUGGAAGAGGCUACUGGAAUUCCGUGUGUAGCGGUGAAAUGCGUAGAUAUACGGAGGAACACCAGCGGCGAAGGCGGGUAGCUGGGCCAGCACUGACGCUGAUGCGCGAAAGCCAGGGUAGCAAACGGG
rnacentral:rRNA from 1 species